GACGGAGGGGGCUAGCGUUGUUCGGAAUCACUGGGCGUAAAGGGUGCGUAGGCGGAUUUUUAAGUCGGAGGUGAAAGCCUGGGGCUCAACCCCAGAAUUGCCCUCGAUACUGAGAGUCUUGAGUUCGGAAGAGGUUGGUGGAACUGCGAGUGCAGAGGUGAAAUUCGUAGAUAUUCGCAAGAACACCGGUGGCGAAGGCGGCCAACUGGUCCGAUACUGACGCUGAGGCACGAAAGCGUGGGGAGCAAACAGG
rnacentral:rRNA from 1 species